UGGACAAAUUAUUGUAUUCGAUUGUAUCCAUGGCGUGAAAUAGGGGAUUACAUUGUUUUUAAAACGGAAAGUGAAUCAAUUAACAUAAUAGACUCCU
rnacentral:pre_miRNA from 1 species